rnacentral:rRNA from 1 species
CUAUCCGCUGUGGGCGUAAGGGGUUUGAGAGGAGCUGUCCCUAGUACGAGAGGACCGGGAUGGACAGACCACUAGUGUGUCAGUUGUCGUGCCAACGGCAUAGCUGAGUAGCUAAGUCUGGCAGGGAUAACCGCUGAAAGCAUCUAAGCGGGAAGCCUCUCCCAAGAUUAGAUCUCUCAACCCUUGAGGUUGUAAGGGCCCUCGUAGACUACGAGGUUGAUAGGCCGGGUGUGGAAGCACAGCAAUGUGUGAAGCUAACCGGUACUAAUUGCCCGAGUGGCUUGGUCAU